UCCCAGAGUUAGCAGUACCUGCAACUGGCCUCUUCUCUGCCACAGAGCAGUCCUCUCUACACAAGCAAAAGUAGCAUUUUCAUGGUAAAGGCUCAUGAGAAUGGUUCACAAUGCCAAUUCAACUGAGCAUCUACAACAUACCAGUCUUUGUGGAAGAACCACAGAAAGGGCUGGAAAUAAUAAAUCUGACUUGGUCCCAUCCCUUAACACACUUCCUUUUAACAUAACUGCAGGCAGAGAGCAUCAGACUCAUUGAGUAGCAGGUACUUAUGGAUCAGGAGGAUUGUGACAGCCCGCCAUGGUACUUUUAGGCUGGGCACAGAACCUUCCAAAGACUAUACUUUCAUCUCCCAGGAAAAAUAAAAAGGGGAAAAGAGACAUGCGAAUAUGAAGAAUGCAGAUAUCUUCCAUUGUGUGCACUAGGAGGAGACUUGGGAUUGAAGAGGAAUGGAGCAAUCAUUUGAUCUGUUGAAAAGUCAUGUUCAUGAAGUGAUAAGAAAACACAUCUGUGUCUGUACAUAUUAAGUUGUGGUAGUCAUACACAGCUUUCUUAUAAAUACUAAAUUUUGUAACAGAUUGGUUUUCAGUGAUUUCUGUCUUCUGCUUUGCAUCUGGUAAGUGAUGCCAUUUUGUUUAAUCAUUUUGUUGAUCAAUUAACAUCAACUUUCUCAAGAAACAAUAACUCUGCCCCUAAUUUUUCACUGAACAGGUGCUUUUGAUUUUUUUCAAUUCAUAGCUGAUGAAAGCUUUUAGUACCAUAUAAAAGGCCAUUAAAUAAUAAAACCAAGAAAAUAGUUUGGAUGU